rnacentral:tRNA from 1 species
UAUGCGAUAGCUCAGUUGGUAGAGCGGGGGACUGUAGAUUUAUAAUUGUGAUCCCUAGAUGCUGGGUCGAAUCCGGCUCGAAGAA